rnacentral:rRNA from 1 species
GAUCCUGGUUCAGGAUGAACGCUAGCUACAGGCUUAACACAUGCAAGUCGAGGGGCAGCAUGAACUUAGCUUGCUAAGUUUGAUGGCGACCGGCGCACGGGUUAGUAACACGUAUCCAACCUGCCGAUGACUCGGGGAUAGCCUUUCGAAAGAAAGAUUAAUACCCGAUGGCAUAGUUCUUCCGCAUGGUGGAACUAUUAAAGAAUUUCGGUCAUCGAUGGGGAUGCGUUCCAUUAGGUUGUUGGG